AUUGAACGCUAGCGGGAUGCCUUACACAUGCAAGUCGAACGGCAGCACGGACUUCGGUCUGGUGGCGAGUGGCGAACGGGUGAGUAAUGUAUCGGAACGUGCCUAGUAGCGGGGGAUAACUACGCGAAAGCGUAGCUAAUACCGCAUACGCCCUACGGGGGAAAGCAGGGGAUCGCAAGACCUUGCACUAUUAGAGCGGCCGAUAUCGGAUUAGCUAGUUGGUGGGGUAACGGCUCACCAAGGCGACGAUCCGUAGCUGGUUUGAGAGGACGACCAGCCACACUGGGACUGAGACACGGCCCAGACUCCUACGGGAGGCAGCAGUGGGGAAUUUUGGACAAUGGGGGAAACCCUGAUCCAGCCAUCCCGCGUGUGCGAUGAAGGCCUUCGGGUUGUAAAGCACUUUUGGCAGGAAAGAAACGUUCCGGGUUAAUACCCCGGGAAACUGACGGUACCUGCAGAAUAAGCACCGGCUAACUACGUGCCAGCAGCCGCAGUAACAC
rnacentral:rRNA from 1 species